rnacentral:rRNA from 1 species
GUCCACGCCCUAAACGAUGUCAACUGGUUGUUGGACGGCUUGCUGUUCAGUAACGAAGCUAACGCGUGAAGUUGACCGCCUGGGGAGUACGGCCGCAAGGUUGAAACUCAAAGGAAAUUGACGGGGACCCGGCACAAGCGGUGGAUGAUGUGGUUUAAUUCGAUGCAACGCGAAAACCUUAACCUACCCUUGACAUGUCAGGAAUCCUGUAGAGAUAUGGGAGUGCUCGAAAGAGAAUCUGAACACAGGUGCUGCAUGGCCGUAGU